CUGCUGGCAGGCGGCUUACCAUCCGAGGCAGCGCGGGAGCUGUGAUCUCUCUGUUCUGCUCGCAUGCCGUUUACUGAUGGCAUCAGUAGACAGUCCGCGCGGCACGAGGGAGCAGAGCAGGGAGAUCACAGCUCCCUCAGCGCCACGGAUGGUAAGCCGCCUCACAGCAG